ensembl:lncRNA
AUGACUCGACCACCGACGGGCAGAGGCCUUGUGUCCUGGGCGCCACCCCUUCGCCAUCCUGGAUUUCCCUCCAAGUCUCGAGUCUCGCUCGGCCUUGUUGCGGGGGAGCCAGGCCCAAGAGCCUUUCCCUCACAGCAUCCCACACGGGCAGAACAGAACUGGAGAAGAAAAGGGCCGGGGAGAUUCUGCCUGGAGACGGAUGACGCCGAGGUGAAGGCCAACUCCCAUUGGCGGAUCCUGGGCGUUUGGAACAAGAAGGACGGGGGUCUCUCUCGAGUGCCGUUCAACUGCCGAGAAGCCCCGCCUCUCUAUGGGCAUCCUGCCCGCGUCCGCCAUGUUUGGUCCGGGCGGAAGCCAGAGAGAAGAGGCGGCCUCCGUUUCCUAGAGAGGGUGGGGAAGCUCAAAAGGGAGGGCCCGGGCGACGCCUUUCCCUGUGAGCUCACUUCCGGAGCCGGAGGCCUUUCGAGGAGGGAGGGAGGGAGGGAGAGAGAGAAGAAGAGACCCAUAACCUGGACGCUUCCCUGAGCAGAGAAGGCCUUCGUGCAGAGGAGGAGAGAGGCCCCAGGGAGGGAGUGGCGGAGCCCCUGCAGAAGAAGCUCCAGGCCGGAGCGGAGGAGGAGGAGGAGGAGGACCAGCAGGUGCAGGAAGGUGAGGUGGGCUUGGGAGUGGAAUGGGUAUGUUUAGCUUUGAGGGAAAGACAGGCCGAGGGGACGGGAGAGCCAAUAUGUGGAAGGAUGUCUCAUUGAGGAGAAAAGGGCAAGUAUUUCCUACUUCUCUGGAGACUGAAAUACAAAGCCAUUGAUUCGCACUGUGGGAAAGAAGCUUCCACCUAGACAUUAGAAAUCAUUCCUGUUGGUAAGAGCUGUAACAUUGGGAAGCAUUUCUCGAUGGUAACAGCUGUUCAGCCGUGGAAGCCUCGUCCCUUCUCAGGAGCCUCCCUUCCCAAGCCCUGGCCUUCCACCUCCUGGGGACUCCAUGUCCCAGAAUCCCUGAUCUUGGGUCAAGGCAGCUGAGGCUUCUGGGUGUUGAAGUCCAAGAAAUCCCAGAGGUAUAAAGUUUGGGAGUCCCUGCUCCAGAGCGUGGAGGGAAUAAUGAGAAUAACUAUUUUAUUUCUAACCUGCCCUCUCUCCCUGAAGGGAAAGGCUCUCUUGGACUACAACUACCAUAAACCCUACAAAAAGUCCUGGCAUGAGGGUUGGAGGAACCUGAGAGCUGAAUCCCAAGACAAAUACGUCUCCCAAGUCCUUGAGGAAGAGGAGGGGGAGGGGGAGGUGGUGGCAGCCAUGGUCUAGGACUGAGACACGAGGAAUCCCCGAAGUCAGAGGGUUGGGAGAGACCCCAAGGGCCACCCAGCCGCACCCCCUUCUGCCAGGCAGGGAAACACAACCCAAGCCCUCCCGACAGAUGGCCGUCCAGCCUCUGACUAAAUCCUCCAAAGAAGGAGCUCCCUCCAGACUCUGAGGCAGAAAGUUCCCCUGCUGAACAGCUCUUCUUCUUACCCUCAGGAAGUCCUUCCUUGUGUUUAGGGGGAACCCCUUUUCCUGGCGUUUGACCUCCUGGCUCCGUUGUCCCUUAGUCUCCAGAGCAGCAGAAAGGAAGCCUUUCCCCCUCCUCUUCCUCCCCAAUGGGACGUCUUUUCAGAUAUUGAAACAUGGCUGCAGCAAAAUCUGGAUGACUGGCAGAGGUUGAAGGACCCUCCCUGAGUCCCCCCGGGGAAAUAGGGUGGAAUAAUAAUAAAGUUUUAUUAUAAUUUGUUAUUUUGGGCUGUAAAUUGCAUGAACGACAUGCAGAAUAAUUUCUUGGAUGCUUCCACACCCAAAGGCAAUAAGCCUUGUUUGUGGUUCACUCAGAAACAACCCCUUUCCUUGAGCUCCCUAAAUUUGUCAACCACUUUGAGCCGCUUGUUGAGGGAAGAGAAGAGAAAUCC